CGGGUACGCGCUCGCUGCGUCGACGUGCUGACGCCAUGACGCCCCGGCCGGUGUGUGUCGGUGUGUGUGUGUGUGAGUGUGCGCACUGCGAGUGUGUGUGUAUUUGUGUAUCGGCGGUCUCGCAGGUCCCGGAUGUUGCGGACAGUAUGAGGCGAGCGCAGGGGGACGGGGACCAGCAGCUGUCGCCACCGCUCUCAGUGAUUUCCUGUUAGACAAGACAAAUUAGAGUCUUCCUACUGACUUUGACUUAACUUGUGCAAGUGGCAUGUAAAGUUAGAAGUCAUAUAAGGUCUCCUCUGGUGACUGCUGUGCAUAGGAUGACUUUACACCAAUGGUGGAGGGGAGAAAAGAUG
rnacentral:lncRNA from 1 species